rnacentral:rRNA from 1 species
UACGUAGGGACCAAGCGUUGGUUCGGAUUUACUGGGCGUAAAGGGCGCGUAGGCGGCAAUUCAAGUCAUCUGUGAAAUCUCCGGGCUUAACUCGGAAUGGUCAGGUGAUACUGCUUUGCUAGAGUGCAGGAAGGGGCAAUCGGAAUUCUUGGUGUAGCGGUGAAAUGCGUAGAUAUCAAGAGGAACACCUGAGGUGAAGACGGGGUUGCUGGGCUGACACUGACGUGAGGCGCGAAAGCUAGGGGGAGCAAACGGG